CAGUAGCCGCGGUAAUACGGAGGGUGCAAGCGUUAUCCGGAUUCACUGGGUUUAAAGGGUGCGUAGGCGGAUCUGUAAGUCAGUGGUGAAAUCUCCAGGCUUAACCUGGAAACUGCCGUUGAUACUAUAGGUCUUGAAUUUUGUGGAGGUUAGCGGAAUAUGUCAUGUAGCGGUGAAAUGCAUAGAUAUGACAUAGAACACCAAUUGCGAAGGCAGCUGGCUACACAACUAUUGACGCUGAGGCACGAAAGCGUGGGGAUCAAACAGGAUUAGAUACCCCCGUAGUCCCUGUCUCUUAUAC
rnacentral:rRNA from 1 species